rnacentral:rRNA from 1 species
GCAGCGAAAUGCGAUACCUAGUGUGAAUUGCAGAAUUCCGUGAAUCAUCGAGUUUUUGAACGCAAGUUGCGCCCGAGGCUCGUCUGAGGGCAUGCCUGCCUGAGCGUCCGC